GACAGUACUGAGGACCAAGGAGAUUAACUCAAUCAGGAUUGCACAGCCGGAGGAAGCAGUCGAGUUCUGAAUCCACGCGAAUGAAUACCAGAGACAUUUCUAUCCUAUAUGAUUCCAAUCCCUUAGGAGUCUCUGCAGCAAGAUUUCCAAAGUGGGAUUUCCUAGUAAAUCACUUGAAGGGGUUGAUUUAAGUGAGACUGUUGGACAUCAAUAGUAGCAUUCUUUAUGUUAAUAAGAAAUUUGGGUAAAAAUCCUUAUAUGUCUAAUAAUUAGGAAUUGAUGAAAUUAUAAUAUAUAUGUAUAAUGUUAAUUUAUGUCUCUGAUAAAGUAAAUAAUAUUUCUUUUUAAGAAAGAUUUAUUUAUGUUUUGUUUGAAAGGCAGAGUUACAGAGAGGCAGUGAGAGAGUGAGAAGAGAGAAAGAGAGUCUUCUAUCUGUUGGUUCACUCCCCAGACGGCUGCAACAGCUGGAACUGUGCUGAUCCAAAGUCAGGAGCCAGGAACUUCUGGGUCUUUCACGCAAGUGCAGCGGCCCAAGGAGUUGGGCUGUCUUCUACUGCUUCCCCAGGUCAUAGCAGAGAGCUAGAUUGCAAGUGGAGCUGCUGGGACUCGAACCUGCGUGGGAUGCCGGCACCGCAGGCGGCAGCUUUACCCACUACGCCGCAGUGCUGGCCCCAAGUAAAUAACAAUUCUUACUGUCCAAUUUCUACAUUGAACAUGAACUCAAAGAUAGAACAAGCCAGAGUGGUUUUAUGCCAGUUACUUAAGUAAAUGGCAUCAUUACUUCUCCGCCUUUCCCAGGGGCUGCUCUCCUGGGGACACAUUCCUGAGGAUAUUUUGCUUUUAAGUAAAUUAUGUACACCUGACUUCAGCUUUUAACUGGCCCCACAAUUAAUCUAUUUUGGAUAUGUCUCUAAAUUUUUCUUUUUCUCUCUCUGUCUUCUCGCCCUCCCUCUGACUCUCAUUUCUUUCUAAUGCUAGAAGUUUUGAUUCUAAAGAUACCUGAAUUCUGGUGCUGUUUCUUAAGCAAGCCUAUUAUUCUAUUUCCUCAUCCAUGUAAUGGCACUCAUAGCUGACCUCAUACGGUUUUUGUGACGUCUGAAUGAGAAAAUGCAUGUGCAGUGUCUAGAGCACCUGUGUGCACACAGGGAGCUCUCAGCAAUGGUAGCUGUUGCUACUUCCAUGGCUACUGGCUCCUCCUUUUCUUCCUCUUGUCUGUCUUACUUCCCUCUGUUCCUAUUUUCUCCUUUCUGCAUUUUUGUUCUUCCCUUCGUUGAUCCCUGAACUAUCACCCAAACUUCAUCUUUAAAAAACUACUUGUCAUAUCCAUCUAAUAAAGAUAGCUAUAAAAAUAAAAAAGUUAAAAAAAAAGUAAUUGUCUGGGCCAGAGUUGUGAUGUGGUGGGUAAAGCUGCUCCCUGCAAUGCUAGCAUCCCACGUGGGUGCCCGUUUGUGUCCUGGCUGCUCUGCUUCCGAUGCAGCUUCCUGCUAACGGCUUGGGAAAAGCAGCAGAAAAUGGCCCAGGUAUUUGGGUCCCUGCACCCACGUGGAAGACCUGGAUGAAGCUCCUUGUUCCUGGCUUCUGCCUGGCUCAGCCCUGGCCAUUACGGCCACUUGGGGAGUGAACCAGUCAAUGGAGGAUCUCUCUCUCUCUCUCUCUCUCUCUCUCUUUCCCUAUCCCUCUUUCCCUCUCUCCCUCCCUCCCUCACCUCCUCUCUCUUCUUUCUCUCUCCCUCCCCCUCCCUCUCCUUCCCUCCCCCCCCCACGUCUGUAACUCUUUCAGAUAAUAAAUAAAUCUUUUAAAAAACCAAAUUUUCUGUGAAACUGGAGAUAAAUGGACUGUUCUGUGUGUUUCUAUUAAGCUGGGACCAUAGGCACAGUUACCAGGGCACUUAAGGAGAUAGGUGUCAGCUCCACGUAAGGCAGCUUUUCCUACAAUGGGGAUGGUAGCAAGCUGCAUGAACUACCUGCAGAAGAUCUGAGUUUCCAGUCACUUGUAGAUUCUGAGCAGAGAUGGGACCACCCCUCAGUGAAGCUGGGGUACAGGGAACUCAGGCAGCAGAGGAGGGAAGAACUGGGGUGAACUUAUAAUGCCAGUGUGCAUGAUUAUAUUUUUAAGGAACAAAAAGAUCAUAAGAAAUAACUUAAACAAAAGCAAAAUCCUUCUUCCCCCAUUGCUGACCCUCACUUCCACUGGGUCAUUGUGAGCGUUGGCUUGAUCUUCCAUCGGUAGCACAUGAAUGCUGUUCAGCUGGCGAUGUUAACAAGCAGGUGGUGUAAUUGCCACACAGUGCUUGCUCAACCUCAGGGACAGGUGGGUACCUGCUUUGUUAACUUGUGGUGCACAACUACCCUUUAUUCACUCUUUGUAAAAGGAAUGAGUUCCCACAGUUUUCCAAUAGUUAUAUCUUAAUUCUCUGCAAAUCUCAUGACUAGCUUUCCUUCCCUUCUUUUCCUGAUUCUCUCUGUGCAUGGGAGAUGACAGCAACACCUACAGAAUUCCCUAGGAAGGAGGUCCUGGGAUACAAGAUCAGUUCCUAGUGCUUUGUCAUGCUCACGAUAAAUGGUGGAAUGGCCUCAAGGUCUGCAGUUGGCUUUGGUGGAGAGCACUUACGAGCCACAUGGAUGUAAGCCAGGUGCUUAAUGUAGCUAGACCUCAGUUUUGUCAGCUCUAAAAUGAACAUAAUAACACUUGGCCCAUCAGGUGUCUAUAAGAACUAAAUAAGAUAAACACAUGACGGAUGACUUGAUCAUUACACACCUAUCAAGUCUAUUCUAAGAAUCCAUUGGAUUUACAAGAGGUCCUUGACUUGCAAGGAAUCAUUAACCAGAAGCAACUUUUGCAGAUUCAAGGACUUGUGCUGGUGGCCUUGGAAAAGCAGCAGAAGAUGGUCCAAGUGUUGGGGCUCUGCCACCCAUGUGCCACUCAGCGCUGGUCAUUGUGGUCAUCUGGGGAGUGAAGGAGCAGAUGGAAGCUCUCGCUCGCUCACUCACUCUCUCGCUAUGUCUCUGUCUCUUCCUCUCUGUAACUCUGACUUUCAAAUAAAUAAAUCGAUCUUAAUAAAAAGACUGAUAUGUUUACUUUACAUGUUUGUUGAUGCUGAUCUUCCCCCAUGAAUUACCUGUUGUACCUUUGCCAAUUAUUACUUUAGCUUGCUCAUGUUUUGUGCAUUUUAAAAAAAUUUUUUUUCUUUUCAACAUUGUGCAUUUGUUUUUAAUAAUCAUUUUAUUGCAGUAAAAUCCACAGACUAAAAGUGUACAGCUUAGUGGUUUAUGUAUACUCAUAAAUUCUGUCAUGUGCUGCCACUGGUCUCUGAUGAGCUUGGUGAUGAACUAAGUGGUCUCCUUAAAUGUCUGGAAGCAUUAAUCUCUCAGAUUUGCUGAGAAGCUCAGUGUUUGCAUUUGAUCACGCCUUCAAUGCUUGGGCAGGAAGUUUACAACUUUGUCUUAAUUUUUACUUCCUGUGUGCCUAGAGUCUAAAGGUCAAGUCAGAGGUGAAAUCUUGGAGCAUGAAUGUAGCCUUUUGGAAUCCUGGAAAUAUUUCAGAACAACCCAAGCUUAUCCUUUUAAGUGUUUCAUCCAGCUUCUUGUUUACCCAAAGAUUAUUGCCACAGUUAUGAUGUUGUACAAUUGAUGCUGAUUGAUUUUAGCCCUGGAGAAAUGGCUUUUCAUAGUGGGCAAGCACUGACUUAGAUCAUAUAAGUGCUUGAAAGGAGUUGCAGACAGGUCAAAUGAUGACAGCUCUCAGAGGAUGUUGUUUUCCGGGUUCUCAAAAUCUAUUCUGUCCUCCCAAGUGGUUGCUAGGCUGCUGGACAAUAAGACUGCUGAUUUACAUCACAGAGCUGGGAGAGAGUACUGGGAAUAGGCAAAGUUACAUCACAACAAAAUUCACUGCUCUUACAAAGAUUCUUCCGCUUUGCAAGAAUAAAUGUUCCUCGGAUUGUUACAAGAUUUUGGCUAAUCUCCAAACUUCUAUAAAUUUUUAUUUUAUGAUUUUCUUAGAGUUCUUGUUGCUUUCAUGGACAAGAGGACUUUUAGAGGUCUUUGCUCUGCCAUUUCUACUGAUAUCACCCUCCAAGGUCAUUUCAGUCAUCCCUGGAAAACCACGUGGGUCUCAGGGGAAUUUUUAACCACAUCUUUUACUCUUCUAGGUUUAUUUCUUCCUAGAAGUCUCCCUUUUCAGAAUAUAAUAUAAAACAGGUAAAAAAAAAUGAACUUGUUUACCUCUGGUGUUAAGAAAGGAAAUGUCACCAUCAGAGUCCAUCUCAAUUACUGAAGCCAAGUUCAAAGUUCCCAUGGCCCUUUACUUGACAGCACUGAUAUUAGUUACCCAGGAGUAAGGAAACCCUUCCCCUGAAGUCAACCACCUACUUGUGCUAUCAUGGGUGCAGAAAAUUACUUGAAACAAAGAGGAUUAGAAUGUGUUAAGUACCCUCAGAAAAGUGAGUAAAAUAAAGGGGUGGUGUCCAGAGGAGGCAGAAAUCAUUCCCAUGUCUAGCAUAUUAGGGCAGGUUCCAGGAUAGAGCAUUGCAGGAUGUCCUUGAAGAAUUUUUCUUUUAACUGUCAGGCAGUGGAAAGAGAAUGAACAUUCACA